AUGAGGGCCUUAUUCUGGAAUAUUAGAGGGUUCGGUGCUAGGGGGCGCCGUGACCAACUGAAAGAUUUGGUUCGUUCUAACUCUAUUGACUUUGUGGGGCUGGUUGAAACGUUUAAGGAUUCCUUUACCCCCAGUGAGCUUUCUGCUAUCGUGGGUAUGGAUAGAUUUCAGUGGCAAUCUUUACCGGCUUCGGGCCACUCUGGUGGGAUUCUGAUCGGUUCUAAUAAGGAUAUUUUUGACUUUGUUGCUUUUGAUCAUGGGUUUUAUUGGGCUAGUGUUGUUCUCUCGCAUAGAUCUAUGAAUGCCCUCUGUGAAUUUAUAGUUGUUUAUGGGCCCGCGGAUCACUCCUUUUCGCACCUUUUCCUUGAUGAACUUUCGAUCAAGCUUGAGUCAUGUUCUCUCCCGACGGUGAUUGGGGGAGACUUUAAUCUUCUG
rnacentral:rRNA from 1 species